GCUUCAAGAGUUCUAGCCCCUAAAACUCGACUAGCCUCGUACCGGUCAAGUUUCUUCAAGAAUCUGACCUCACCCUCUUAGAACCUCCUCUGGACUUCUGAUUUUUCAUUUUUAGGACCCUUAUAACCCUUGUUAGGAUCAGAUAAGGCUUUGUCUUAAAUCCCAAAGCCUUGUCCUAAAACUAAGAUAGAUUGUAAGAAAGAAAGGAGAGCAACAGGAGAGAAAUUGGAAACCCCUCUUAGAUUCAUCGGAUACCUAGUGCCCCAGCCUAUUUAUAGCCACUAGAGGGAUACCAAAAGAGAGGGACAUGCCUUAUCCAAAAGGC
rnacentral:lncRNA from 1 species